AUGCAGUCGAACGAUGACUUUUGUGCUUGCACAGAAUGAUUAGUGGCGAACGGGUGAGUAACACGUGAGUAACCUGCCCCUGACUCUGGGAUAAGCCUGGGAAACUGGGUCUAAUACUGGAUAUGCACCGUAGACCGCAUGGUUUUUGGUGGAAAGAAUUUUGGUCAGGGAUGGACUCGCGGCCUAUCAGCUUGUUGGUGAGGUAAUGGCUCACCAAGGCGACGACGGGUAGCCGGCCUGAGAGGGUGACCGGCCACACUGGGACUGAGACACGGCCCAGACUCCUACGGGAGGCAGCAGUGGGGAAUAUUGCACAAUGGGCGAAAGCCUGAUGCAGCGACGCCGCGUGAGGGAUGACGGCCUUCGGGUUGUAAACCUCUUUCAGUAGGGAAGAAGCGAAAGUGACGGUACCUGCAGAAGAAGCGCCGGCUAACUACGUGCCAGCAGCCGCGGUAAUACGUAGGGCGCAAGCGUUAUCCGGAAUUAUUGGGCGUAAAGAGCUCGUAGGCGGUUUGUCGCGUCUGCCGUGAAAGUCCGAGGCUCAACUUCGGAUCUGCGGUGGGUACGGGCAGACUAGAGUGAUGUAGGGGAGACUGGAAUUCCUGGUGUAGCGGUGAAAUGCGCAGAUAUCAGGAGGAACACCGAUGGCGAAGGCAGGUCUCUGGGCAUCUACUGACGCUGAGGAGCGAAAGCAUGGGGAGCGAACAGGAUUAGAUACCCUGGUAGUCCAUGCCGUAAACGUUGGGCACUAGGUGUGGGGGACAUUCCACGUUUUCCGCGCCGUAGCUAACGCAUUAAGUGCC
rnacentral:rRNA from 1 species